rnacentral:sRNA from 1 species
UUACAGUGUGUUAGUUUAAUACAUCAAUA